UGUUCGUUAUUUAGGGCGCAUGGUGGAUGCCUUGGCAUGCUGAGCCGAUGAAGGACGUGAAAGGCUGCGUUAAGCCUCGGGGAGUUGUCAAUUAAGCGUUGAUCCGAGGAUGUCCGAAUGGGGAAACCUGGCACCUGUUAUGGGGUGUUACCCUUCAGUGAAUUCAUAGCUGUUGUGGGGGUUACGCGGGGAAGUGAAACAUCUCAGUACCCGUAGGAAGAGAAAAUAAUAAUGAUUCUGCUAGUAGUGGCGAACGAACGUGGAUGAGGCUAAACCGUGUGCAUGUGAUACCUGGUAGGGGUUGUGUGUGCGGUGUUGUGGGCCCUGAUGAGGAUGGCUACUGACGUCCUGCCCGCGCAUUGUUGUUAGGUGAAGUGGUGUGGAAACGCCUGCCGUAGAAGGUGAUAGUCCUGUAGCUGAAGAUGAUGGUGUGUGGGUUGUUGGGUUGCCCGAGUAGCAGCGGGCUCGUGGAAUCUGCUGUGAAUCUGCCGGGACCACCCGGUAAGCCUAAAUACUCAGUGUGACCGAUAGUGGAUAGUACCGUGAGGGAAUGGUGAAAAGUACCCCGGGAGGGGAGUGAAAUAGUUCCUGAAACCAUGUGCUUACAAUCCGUCAGAGCACUUUUUGUGUGUGAUGGCGUGCCUUUUGAAGAAUGAGCCUGCGAGUCAGCGGCAUGUCGCGAGGUUAACCCGUGUGGGGUAGCCGUAGGGAAACCGAAUCCUAAUGGGGUGUCAAGUGGCAUGUCCUGGACCCGAAGCGGGGUGAUCUACCCAUGGCCAGUGUGAAGCAGCAGUAAGAUGCUGUGGAGGCGCGAACCCACGUAGGUUGAAAACUGCGGGGAUGAGCUGUGGGUAGGGGUGAAAGGCCAAUCAAACUCCGUGAUAGCUGGUUCUCCCCGAAAUGCAUUUAGGUGCAGCGUCGCAUUAGCUUGGUGGAGGUAGAGCUACUGGUUGGUUGAGCGGGACUACAAUCUUAGCAAUGUCAGCCAAACUCCGAAUGCCAUUAAUGUGUUGUGCGGCAGUGAGACUGUGGGGGAUAAGCUUCAUAGUCGAGAGGGAAACAGCCCAGAUCGCCGGUUAAGGCCCCUAAGGGUGUGCUAAGUGGAAAAGGAUGUGGGAUCGCGAAGACAGCCAGGAGGUUGGCUUAGAAGCAGCCAUCCUUGAAAGAGUGCGUAAUAGCUCACUGGUCGAGUGGUUCUGCGCCGACAAUGUAGUGGGGCUCAAGCACACCGCCGAAGCCGCGGCAAUAAUAUUUUGUUAUUGGGUAGGGGAGCGUCGUGCACGUGUUGAAGCGUUACCGUGAGGAGGCGUGGAGUGUGUGCGAGUGAGAAUGCAGGCAUGAGUAACGAAUUGGAAGGUGAGAAUCCUUCCCGCCGGAUGACUAAGGGUUCCUGGGUCAAGUUCGUCUUCCCAGGGUGAGUCGGGACCUAAGGCGAGGCCGACAGGCGUAGUCGAUGGAUAAC
rnacentral:rRNA from 1 species